AUUGAACGCUGGCGGCAUGCUUUACACAUGCAAGUCGAACGGCAGCGCGGGCUUCGGCCUGGCGGCGAGUGGCGAACGGGUGAGUAAUGCAUCGGAACGUGCCCAGUAGUGGGGGAUAGCCCGGCGAAAGCCGGAUUAAUACCGCAUACGACCUGAGGGUGAAAGCGGGGGACCGAAAGGCCUCGCGCUAUUGGAGCGGCCGAUGUCGGAUUAGCUAGUUGGUGGGGUAAUGGCUUACCAAGGCGACGAUCCGUAGCUGGUCUGAGAGGACGGCCAGCCAGGGUGGGAGUGAGGGCCGGACCCCACACGGGAGGCAGGAGGGGGUAGUUUAGAAUAAAGGGGGGACGCAAGCCCCAGCCAGCGCGGCGGCGGGAGGGAUGCCUGCGGUUUGGAAGUCAAUUUUUUUCGGGAGGAAACCAUGCGGUGUUUUUCCCGGGGGGUUGAGGGUACCCGGAAAAAAAGCGCCGGCUAACUACGUG
rnacentral:rRNA from 1 species